GUUUCCUUUGUUGGUGGGUGAAAUAAUAAUGUGGCACCGCCUGUACAUCUAGUGUUAUUUCUGUACGACUUGGAAGCGGAUAUUUGAGACAAUCUGCGCGUCGUUGUGUGCUGCAGGCAGGUAGAUGACAUGCAGGGUGAGCCAUGGACCAGAUCACCUUCCAUUAUGACACGGUGCUGUCUGACGUUCACCUGUUGCUGCCCAACUCUCGCCACCUCAUGGCACGCCUUAACCGUGUAGGACAACCAGUUUUCAUCUCCCGGUUCAGAAUCCUGUGGGACGGAACGAAGCAGCGCACCUGUGACCUCGGUUCCCCCGGCGGAGGGGAAGAGUUAGACCGCGACACCCAGGAGGAGAGUGGAAGGGGAGAUGCUAGAGGGAGUGAGACUGGGGCUGACGGAGGAGUGGACAGGGAUGAGGACCGAGGGGCUGACGGAGGAGUGAACAGGGAUGAGGACGGAGGAGUAGACAGGGAUGAGGACGGAGGGGCUGAUGGAGGAGUGGACAGGGAUGAGGAUGGAGGAGUGGACAGGGAUGAGGACAGAGGGGUAGAACCACCCCUGGAUGAAGAUGGAGAUUUAGAGGUACCACGCAGGCCCAGACAAAGACUCCCUGAGAGGGACAGAGACAUGGUCUACCCCAUCAUCCUCAGCCAGGCAAGAAGAGAUGAAGAGGAGGAGGAUGAGGAGGAGGAGUGUCCUAGAGACGUCAUCAGGAUAGAACACACUAUGGCCACGCCUUUAGAAGAUGUUGGCAAACAGGUCUGGCGUGGCGCCUUCCUAUUGGCUGAUUUAAUCCUGUCUCAGCCAACUACAUUCAGAGGAGCCACCGUCUUGGAGUUGGGGGCAGGGACUGGGCUGACCAGCGUAGUCAUGGCAACGGUGGCCAAAACAGUGUACUGCACAGACGUUGGGGAGGACCUACUGAGCAUGUGCCAGAAGAACGUGACGUUGAACAGACACCUGAUGGAACCUGCAGGUGGGAAGGUGCGAGUACGUCUACUGGACUGGCUCAGACACGAUCUCUGCACAGACGCUGAUGCAGAGUUUGGAUGGACAGAGGAUGAAGUGGCAGAUCUCCAUGACAACACAACAAUUAUCAUCGCGGCUGACGUGUGCUACGAUGACGACCUGACAGACGCGCUGUUCCGAACUCUGUACAGAAUCUGUAACAACCUCCGUCUCCCCUGUACUACAUACCUGUCUAUAGAGAAGAGGUAACAUACCUGUACUACAUACCUGUCUAUAGAGAAGAGGUAACAUACCUGUACUACAUACCUGUCUAUAGAGAAGAGGUAACAUACCUGUACUACAUACCUGUCUAUAGAGAAGAGGUAACAUACCUGUACUACAUACCUGUCUAUAGAGAAGAGGUAACAUACCUGUACUACAUACCUGUCUAUAGAGAAGAGGUAACAUACCUGUACUACAUACCUGUCUAUAGAGAAGAGGUAACAUACCUGUACUACAUACCUGUCUAUAGAGAAGAGGUAACAUACCUGUACUACAUACCUGUCUAUAGAGAAGAGGUAACAUACCUGUACUACAUACCUGUCUAUAGAGAAGAGGUAACAUACCUGUACUACAUACCUGUCUAUAGAGAAGAGGUAACAUACCUGUACUACAUACCUGUCUAUAGAGAAGAGGUAACAUACCUGUACUACAUACCUGUCUAUAGAGAAGAGGUAACAUACCUGUACUACAUACCUGUCUAUAGAGAAGAGGUAACAUACCUGUACUACAUACCUGUCUAUAGAGAAGAGGUAACAUACCUGCACUACAUACCUAUCUAUAGAGAAGAGGCUGAACUUCACUCUGAGACACAUGGACAUAUCCUGCGAGGCCUACGACCAUUUCCGCCACUGUCUGUGUGAGAUGCAGGAGCUGAGGGACGGACGGACAUGCUUCACAGUGGAGCAGGUCACACCCUCUUUCCC